CUAUUUUUUCUUCUCCUGCUCCAAGUUCGGUCCUAUCCACUUUCCGAAGUCUUGUUUACAAUUCUCGAUUUCGUGCGAAGGUUGUCCAAAUCAGCCUUAUAGGAAAUUCGAAUGGGUCUGGUCUCUUCACUCUCUCUCAUGAAAACUUUCCCAUUUCUGGUCCAUACGAAUUUGUAGUUUCGAUUCUUCGCAAAUAAUCUCGUUGUAUAAAGUAGUUCCUUAUAGAAAGGUAUUUCAAGUAAGAUCUCAUGGAUUUCCUGGAAUAAUUGGUGUCAUGGAUUCAACACACAUCAAAAUUAAACAGCCAGUAGAUAAUGCACAUGAUUAUUACAAUAGAAACAAAUAUCAUUCAGUUAAUUUGCUAGCUGUUUGUGAUGAAAAUUGUAAAUUUAUCAAUGUUGCCACUGGCUUCCCCGGAAGACUACAUGAUGCAAGGGUAUUUAGAGUCAGUGAUCUAGGGCAAGCUCUUGCCAACGACCAUUACCAACUGGUUUUCUUAGAUGAACGCCACCUACUUGCCGAUUGUGCCUACCCUUUGUUGCCGUACAUUAUGACUCUUAUACUCUGAAAAUUAUCAUCUGUUCGGUCAACAAUAGAACAUGCUUUUGGAAGAUUGAAAGGUAAAUUCAGGAGAUUAAAUUUAUUAGAAUUGACUACUCCACGCUUAUUUACCACUACCAUCAUUGCAGCCUGUAUCCUUCACAACAUUGUUAUACAAAAUGAUGGAUUAAGUGAUGACGAAUAUGAAAACUAUGAAGAUGAACAACCCAAUGUCCUUGAACAUCAACAUGAUAAUAUCCAGGCCAAUUUAAAAAGAAAUGCUAUUGCUCAGGCAUUACCUUAAGCAUAUAGUAUUAUAUCCAGCCUACAUUAAUUCUCAAACUAACAACCAAUGGAGAUUCAUUUAAUUAGUAUAUUUCAUAUAUUCAUGAUGAGAUUGUCAAAGAAAUUCUAUUCAUGUUUAAAAAGAUAGAAUAUUAUGUAAGGAAAUAAUAAUAAAUACCGUACAUUUUCUCAGUGUUGAAUUUCAUUGAAUAACUGUA